rfam:Staphylococcus capitis strain CR03 genome assembly, contig: BN1517_Contig_1
UUGAUCAGUAUUAGAGAGAAUAAAGCUAAAACAUAUCUACAUAAUAAUUAAUUUAAGAAUAUUGUAAAUAUUUAGCUUUAUCGCCGAAGGUGCAAGUUAUUUAACGAAACUCUCAGGCAAAAGGAUAAUACUGUAACG